rnacentral:lncRNA from 1 species
CAUGGUGGCAGUCGGCUGUAAUCCAGCUACUUGAGAAGAAUCGCUUGAACCCAGGAGGCGGAGGUUGCAGUGAGCUGAGAUGGCACAACUGCACUCCAGCCUGAGCAACAGAGCAAGACUCCGUCUCAAAAAAAGAAAAAAAAAAGAGAGAGAGAGAUAAAUGAAAGAUCUGCUCCUUAAAGCAGUAAUAGCAUAGUCUUUAAUAUCAGAAGGAACCGUUAUAUGUUUUAUUUAAAGGUUCUUGAUUUAUGAACUUUGUACCUGUCCGUUAAGGGUCUGGUUCUUGCAUGGUUAAUAUGUGAACUUUUAAAAUUUGUGCUUCUCAUGCUUAAAGCAUGAUACUCAGCAAGGCUUCUGACACCAAACCUUUCCCAUAUUCCAUUUCAUAGAGCAUUUCAUAGAAAAUGUUUCAUAAAACAUGUCAUAGAUAUGUUCCUUUUCUUAGAACAGUUGUAUGUUCUUUCCUUUAUCAAACAUGGAUUGAACACCUAUUGCGUGCCAGGUACAGUGAUAGGUUCUGGAUGAACGAAAUGCGUUUGUUUGUUUUUUCUGUAAGUCUUGGACCCCUUGGAAUUAACCACAUGGUUAAUUCCACUGGCAUCCUUGGUAACAUAGCCCCCUCUGGUAAUGUAGCAGACCACAGAGUGACAGGUGGAGGGGACUGAAUGAUGAGACAGUCACCUGGGAUUCUAUGAUUCCAGGCCCCUGAUGCUUUGGGCUGGGGGAGUUGGCUGCUGUCAUUUGUGAGGUAGAGUCGCAACCUGGUACAGCACUAAGAAUCCAUUUCCUUCUUCUCAAUGACUCACUUCCCACCAUCUCCAAUUGCUCUUUGGUCGUAGUUACUACGUUGUCAUUUGCCAGCAGAAACGACCGUGUUGUUGUUUGCCAGUUUGGGGCUUUCUGUCAACCUGAAAGACUUCCUUUUCUCCAGCCAGUUAGGUCUUGCAGAUUUUGUUGUGAGGCCAACAACCAGACUGUGAACUGCCUAAGCCCCGCCAACCCUUCUUUGAAAAGCCCUGUGGAACUAGGUCAUCGGGUUGUUGGAUGGUUCUUACCCAGACUGUGCUGUGCUGCAACUUUUAAUGUAUACUGUCUAUGGAAUACCAAACUUGUUUCCAAACUAAAUAGUUUCCAAUGAGGGUUUAAUGGGAGUUUUUCAUUUGAAAUAGAUUGAAAACAAGCCAUUUCCUACUCCCAUUUCAAACAAAUUUUGGUCCAAUUAUUUUCCUUUUUUUUUAACAUAAAGUUAAAUGGACUAUUCUGCCCAUCCCUGACUGAGCUGAACCAUGAUUUCUCUUGAUUAUGCUUUUACGCUGCGAAUCGCAAGGCUCCAGAGACAUAAUGGGCGUCUGUGGGAGAGUGGCAGCAAUUUUUAAAAUCCUGCCAGUGCUUGUCAGCCUCCACUCUGGUGCCUGCUGUGCAGGAAGAAAGCAUCCCACCAAAAGAAAAAAA